rnacentral:tRNA from 1 species
AGUUAAUGAGCUUGAAAUUUAAGCAUAUAUUUUGAAAAUAUAAGAUAGAAUAAUUUCUAUUAACUU